rnacentral:rRNA from 1 species
UACGAAGGGUGCGAGCGUUAAUCGGAAUUACUGGGCGUAAAGUGUGCGCAGGCGGCCGCGCAAGUCGAGUGUGAAAGCCCCGAGCUUAACUUGGGAAUUGCGCUCGAAACUACGUGGCUGGAGUGUGGCAGAGGAAGGUGGAAUUCCACGUGUAGCGGUGAAAUGCGUAGAGAUGUGGAGGAACACCAAUGGCGAAGGCAGCCUUCUGGGCCAACACUGACGCUCAUGCACGAAAGCGUGGGGAGCAAACAGG